GCUGGGUGUGGUUGCUCACGCCUGUAAUCCCAGCAUUUUAGGAGGCUGAGGCGGGUGGAUCACCUGAGGUCGGGAGUUCAAGACCAGCCUGACCAACAUGGAGAAACCCCGUCUCUA
rnacentral:sRNA from 1 species